AGUGAACGCUGGCGGUAGGCCUAACACAUGCAAGUCGAACGGCAGCACAGGAGAGCUUGCUCCCUGGGUGGCGAGUGGCGGACGGGUGAGGAAUACAUCGGAAUCUACUCUGUCGUGGGGGAUAACGUAGGGAAACUUACGCUAAUACCGCAUACGACCUACGGGUGAAAGCAGGGGACCUUCGGGCCUUGCGCGAUUGAAUGAGCCGGUGUCGGAUUAGCUAGUUGGCGGGGUAAAGGCCCACCAAGGCGACGAUCCGUAGCUGGUCUGAGAGGAGGAUCAGCCACACUGGAACUGAGACACGGGCCAGACUCCUACGGGAGGCAGCAGUGGGGAAUAUUGGACAAUGGGCGCAAGCCUGAUCCAGCCAUACCGCGUGGGUGAAGAAGGCCUUCGGGUUGUAAAGCCCUUUUGUUGGGAAAGAAAUCCAGCUGGCUAAUACCCGGUUGGGAUGACGGUACCCAAAGAAUAAGCACCGGCUAACUUCGUGCCAGCCGCCGCGGUAA
rnacentral:rRNA from 1 species